UCGAAGAGCUGAGGGUAGCGUUGUCGCAUCUCCUCCUCCAAUUCCCAGGUAGCUUCCCUUUCAGUGUGGUUGGUCCACUGGACUUUAACAUAGGGAAUGGUGCGCCUUCGGAGGAUUUGCUCUUUUCUGUCUAUGAUGCGCAGGGGAGCCUCCUCAUAGGUUAAAUCUUCAUUUAAUUGCAGAGGCUCAUGUGGCACCACAUGGCUGGGAUCCGGAACCUACCUCCGUAACAAGGAGAUGUGGAAGACGUUGUGUACACCUGAUAGCUCCAGGGGUAGGGCCAAUUUGUAGGCAACCUUGCCUAUCCUGGCAAGAACCUCGAAUGGGCCGAUGUAGCGAGGACUUAGCUUGCCGUGUCUUCCGAAUCGGGUAAUGCCCUUCGAUGGAGAAAUUUUCAGGAAGACAAAGUUCCCCUCCAAAAAUUCCAAGGCCCUUCUUCCUCUGUCAGUCCAUCUUUUCUGUCUAU
rnacentral:lncRNA from 1 species